UUACUUAUGUGUUGCUGUAUCUUAACAUGAAUCACGUAACUAUAUUUUUUUUUUAGGUGAUGGAGGAUAUGGCUGUUUCUCUUGGCUUCUAACUCCAUUGUCCCGACCUGAUACCCCUGCUGAACACAAUUACAAUCAUGCACAUAAGUCCACGCGGAAUGUGAUAGAAAGAUGUUUUGGUGUGCUGAAAUCUAGGUUUCGGUGUCUGGAUAAGUCUGGUGGCCUUUUGUUGUAUAGUCCCUUGAAGGUGACUCAAUUGUGUUCUGCUGCUGCUUUCUUCAUAACAUGUGUUUGCAACAACAUCUGCCACAUGUUGAGGAGGAGGAGGAAGAAAGCAGCCAGCAAGCAGAGGAAUUAGAGACAUCUGGUGAUACUUGGAGUACAGAUGUAGGGAGGCAGGUUAGGCAAAAACUCAUAAAUAUUUUUUUAAGGUAAGUUUUGUUUGCUUCUUUCAUUUGUUAUGUAAGCAUUAAUAUAUGUUGUCCCAUUUUUCUUUUAAAAACCAUCACUCAGAAUGUGUCUGUCUCCUUGAGACAUACAAACAUACCCUCGCUUUAUGCAAAACAAAUGUAGCAUGUGUAUUGUGUUUAUUUUACAACUCAAACCACAUUAUGAGUGGCAUGCAUGAAGUCUGGAUAAGUGUUAUUAAACUUGCACUGAUAAUUUAUUACAAGCACACAUAAUCCACAAAGUAUUUGUUUUAGUAUUUUACUUUAAGAUUGUGUUUAACGUCCUAAUGCACAGGGUCUCAAACUCGUCCCUCAGGGCCCCAAACAGUGCAUGUUUUGCAGGUAACCCGGUAGAAGCACAUGUGUAUGAAUUACUCACAGACACAUUUUAAAAGUUGAACAGGUGGAGAUAAUUAUGUCACUUGUGAUUCUGUGUGGAGACCUGCAAAACAUGCACUGUGUGGGGUCCUGAGGUCCGAGUUAGAGAACCCGUGUCCUAAUUAAACACUCCUCCACAUAUAAUAUGUUAGCCUUGAGGAAUACAUGUGUCCCUAUGUGUGAUGGUCCAUCGUAUUUAAGGGACACAAACUUAGUAUCUUUAAAAAAAAAUUAAUUCGUAAUGUUUGCUGCAGUAAACUUGCUGAUUUGUAAGUCAAUACACAGUUUCCCACAUAUAUUCAUUAUUAUGCACAUUAUUUGUGCUCAUUAAAUACAAAUACCAUUUAUUUGUUUCUGCAUCAUGUGUACUAAACUGAUUACUCAUUUUAACACACACAAACAUGGCACAACAAUAAUGACAUUCAUUUUGGCACUGAAUUAUCUAAAUGCUAUUACAACAUAUUACGACCUUUUUAGCCAACUCAAUUGUGUUAUUCUUGUAAUGUCGUAUACAGAAGAAAGGUAAAAGAGUUAACAAACACAUUGUAAUUUGUAUUGGUCAUGGAUGAAUCUGCAUGGCUGCCAAUUAGUCUGCCUGCAGGAUAUGAGAAUGAUUGGAAUCUAGAAAGAGUAAUGAUUAGAAAUACAUCAAGUGUUCUUGUUACUGCAUGCUAAAUACAUUCUGCAUGGCUGCCAAUUAGUCUGCCUGCAGGAUAUGAGAAUGAUUGGAAUCUAGAAAGAGUAAUGAUUAUACAAAAAUCAAGUGUUCUUGUUACUGCAUGCUAAAUACAUUCUGCAUGGCUGCCAAUUAGUCUGCCUGCAGGAUAUGAGAAUGAUUGGAAUCUAGAAAGAGUAAUGAUUAGAAAAAAAUCAAGUGUUCUUGUUACUGCAUGCUAAAUACAUUCUGCAUGGCUGCCAAUUAGUCUGCCUGCAGGAUAUAAGAAUGAUUGGAAUCUAGAAAGAGUAAUGAUUAGAAAUAAAUCAAGUGUUCUUGUUACUGCAUGCUACAUACAUUCUGCGUGGCUGCCAAUUAGUCUGCCUGCAGGAUAUGCGAAUGAUUGGAAUCUAGAAAGAGUAAUGAUUAGAAAAAAAUCAAGUGUUCUUGUUACUGCAUGCUAACAUCAAUGUACAGAUCCAAUAACUUUCUCCUCACAAAAAAAUUUAAGAUGUGAAAGACUAAAUGUGUUGGCCAAAAUCCUGUUGUUGUUUGUAACACUUAUAAUUAAUGAUGUUCCACAAAUUGUCAAGGUGGUAAGUGUUAUAUAUAUUGUGAAAAACCUACACUUACUAACUGUGUUUAUUUUCUUCUCUAUACAGAGAUCGGUGUAUCUAUUUUUUAUUUAUUUGGUGUUGGCUGCUUGGACUGGCCUUUGCCUUUACCACUGUCGUGUUGGCGUGCUCUGGUGGAGCGCCUUGGUGGUGAGGACACUGGCGUGAUAUUUGGAGUAGUCGUACCUGAACUGCUGCUUGUUUGCUGUUGGUGCAUGGAUCUGAGUGUUUCAUUGAGCAUCUUACACACAAUGUGCUACUGUAUGGCUGAAGUGGACAUACAUAUCUUUACAGGAUGUGGACAAGGCCAUUUUGCUAGGAUUCCAUUUCAUGUUUUACUGACUUUGUUUGAUACUCAAUCAAGAUGAGGGGAGUGUGGUUCACGUCUUGGAGGUGUGUCCAAAAUUUGGAGUGGGGGGACCGAACAUACUGUUGAUAAUCUUCGUGGCGGGGUAGCCUGCUGUGGUUGGCCCUGGACAUCAGACCUUGCUUUCUUUGCUGCCACAUGUUUUUUUUUGGUGUUGUGUUACAGAAGUCCGACUUCUGCUGCUCCAGACUUCUUUUGAUGGACCUAGUAUUGAAAGUGAAAUUUGGUUAUGGCCAUUCCUUUACAAACAUACCCUAUACUACAAUGGACACUUUACCUGCUUCCGCAGCGUCAUCAUCAUCAGAUGUCAUGGGAGUUACUGUAGGACGACCAGUACUGCUUUUUUCCAACACUGUAAAACCAAAACAAAAUCUCAUGUAUUCAUGCUAUUGUUUAUAGAU